UCGCGGGAUGGAGCAGUCUGGCAGCUCGUUGGGCUCAUAACCCAAAGGUCGAUGGUUCAAAUCCAUCUCCCGCAAUUUU
rnacentral:tRNA from 1 species